ACCUCGGUGGUGUAGUGGUCAAGACGUUUGCCUGGUGAUCAGGAGGGCGUGGGUUCAAUCCCAGCCGCGGUA
rfam:Asian citrus Psyllid, Diaphorina citri - Florida Strain, whole genome shotgun sequence.